AACGUAGGACACAAGCGUUAUCCGGAGUUACUGGGCGUAAAGGGCGUGUAGGCGGAUGGGUAAGUCUACUCUGAAAGCUCCUGGCUAAACUGGGAGAGGCGAGUGGAGACUGCUGAUCUAGAGUGAGGAAGAGGAAAAGUGGAAUUCCGCGUGUAGUGGUGAAAUGCGUAGAGGAUGCGGAGGAACACCAGUGGCGAAAGCGACUUUCUGGUCCUUAACUGACGCUGAGGCGGCGAAAGCAUGGGGAGCGAACGGG
rnacentral:rRNA from 1 species